AACGCACAUUGCGCCCUCUGGUAUUCCGGGGGGCACGCCUGUUCGAGCGCCAUUACACCCUCCAAGCUCCGCUUGAUGUUGGAUGCUGCGGGCGCCCCUCUGGGGCCCCGCACGUCUGGAACGCGUGGGCGUCCGUCCUGUCGAGACCCGCGAGCGUAGCAAGACUGACCAAGUCAUUUCGCUCUGCCGGGGCUCCAGCGGACCGCCUAUCGACCUCCUCUGUCUAGAGGGGUCACCCACAAGAGUUUGGCCUCGGAUCAGGCGGGGAUACCCGCUGAACUUAA
rnacentral:misc_RNA from 1 species